rnacentral:rRNA from 1 species
CACCCGCAGCUCGAGUGGUGGUCACUUUUAUUGAGCCUAAAGCGUUUGUAGCCGGUUUUGCAAAUCUUCAGAUAAAUUCCUCUGCUUAACAGAUGAUCUUCUGAAGAGACUGCGAGACUUGGGACCGGGUGAAGUUGAAGGUACUUCCGGGGUAGGGGUAAAAUCCUGUAAUCCUGGAAGGACGACCGGUGGCGAAGGCGUUCAACUAGAACGGAUCCGACGGUGAGGAACGAGGGCUAGGGUAGCAAACCGGAUUAGAUACCCGGGUAGUCCUAGCUGUAAACACUGCCCACUUGGUGUUGCCCCUCCGAUGAGGGGAGGCAGUGCCGGAGCGAAGGUGUUAAGUGGGCCGCUUGGGGAGUAUGGUCGCAAGGCUGAAACUUAAAGGAAUUGGCGGGGGAGCACCGCAACGGGAGGAGCGUGCGGUUUAAUUGGAUUCAACGCCGGAAAACUCACCGGGAGCGACCUUUGGAUGAGAGUCAGCCUGAUGAGCUUACUCGAUAGAAGGAGAGGUGGUGCAUGGCCGUCGUCAGCUCGUACCGUAGGGCGUUCACUUAAGUGUGAUAACGAGCGAGACCCCCAUCUCUAAUUGCUAACGUGCAUUCGCGUGCACGCGCACUUUAGAGGGACCGCCAGUGCUAAACUGGAGGAAGGAGGGGUCGACGGCAGGUCAGUACGCCCCGAAUCUCCCGGGCAACACGCGCGCUACAAAGGGCAGGACAAUGAGUUGCCACCUCGAAAGGGGGAGCUAAUCUCGAAACCUGUUCGUAGUUAGGAUUGAGGGCUGUAACUCGCCCUCAUGAAUGUGGAUUCCGUAGUAAUCGCGGGUCAACAGCCCGCGGUGAAUAUGCCCCUGCUCCU